AAUGAAUUUGUAGUUGGACUUCAACUAUUCAACCUCCUCAAUUCAAAGCCCCUAGGUUAUGUCUCCUCUGACAUUGCGGAUCCUGAUCCAGUGACCCCCAACCUGUUGCUCAUGGGGCGGCAUGAUUCUUCCCUCCCCCUGGUAACUUAUCCUGACUCUGAGCUGCGCAGCCGCCGGCAAUGGCGUCAUAGUCAGAUUCUUUCAGACCAUUUCUGGGCCCACUUCCUCAGACAUUAUCUUCCCUCUCUCCAGUCUAGACAGAAAUGGCGCACUGAUAAUCCUGACCUCCAACGAAACACUGUUGUCCUCAUUCUCGACCCUCAGCUUCCCCGAUCCCUCUGGCCAGUAGGUAGAGUGAUGUCCCUCCAUCCCGGCAAGGAUGGCCGUUGUAGGGUUGCAGAUGUCAAAGUGGGGGAUAAACUGUAUACAAGACCAGUUGCCCGCCUCAUCCCACUCCCUGCCCUACCUGAACCCCCAUGACCUUCUACUCUAACACAUUUGCAACGCAAAUUUGGGGGCGGCUGUUUGGAAGAUUCCAGCUCUGUCCUGCAGUUGCCACGCCCCCUAUACUUUGCCACUCAGUUCCAUCUGUAGUUCACCACACCUGCAAUCAAUCUGCCUCAAUCAGCCACAGACUCAAAUAGGCAGCACCUGUGCACACAGCCCUUCCUUUUGUUCCAAACCACAUGGAGGAUCUUUGAUGCUGGACAUGCUGUUUGUCCUGCCUUGUGUGCGUUUUUGCUCUAUAAACCACACACCCAAACACGUAACCAUACAAACCUGUAACCUGUCUUCUUGAUAAUGCUUGGAAUAAAAGAAUUGUGGGAUUGAAAGUGAUUGGACAGAACUGUUCUUACCGACACCUCCACUGGUCUCAAGCCAGCCACCUACACAGCCCUCUACACCUCCUUUUCACUUACGGUAAUUACAAGUUCUUCCUGCGCCUCAAGGUCAUGCCUUUUCUGCAGAGCGGCAACCCGUUCCAUGAGAGCAGCUUUUUCCGCCUGAGCUUUAAUGCGAGCAGAGGAUGUUGAAGAUGCACGUGAUGAAGAACUUGAGUUGUAAUUUGAUUUAGGUUUUGACACAUUAGAAACACUGUCAUCAGGUCCGAUAUCAUCUGUGUUUACACUUUCAGCAAUGGUGUGUGUUUUAUGCAAUCCAACCUCUGAUAACCACACAUUUACAUCCUGUAUAAAACCAUCAAAAGUUUCAAUUUUUUGUUGAAACCAGUUAUUUUGCUUUUCAUGUUCAUUUUCAGGCAGUGGUAACGUCACCAAUGACUCAUGGUUACUUUUGGCUUCAUCACAGAUGUUGAUUAAUAAUCCAGUGCAACAUCGCCAUGUUGUGGCUGAACAUCAGACAUAUUUGCUUCACUUUUAGCGUGAUCAGUAAACCACACGCCAAUGACACUCAAAACAGCUGUGGCUUCAGUCAAUGAAAUUCAUUAGUACAGCAGUUUCUGGUAACUGUUUCAUAGCUUUUCCAAUAAAGCUUAAUGUUGGCUCAAUCUUCA